GACGAACGCUGGCGGCGUGCUUAACACAUGCAAGUCGAACGGAAAGGCCUGCUUUCCCUUGUGGAUUGCGGGUACUCGAGUGGCGAACGGGUGAGUAACACGUGAGUGAUCUGCCCCCAACUUGGGUAUAAGCCUGGGAAACUGGGUCUAAUUCCCGAUAGGACUGCAGGGUGGUGCCUGUGGUGGAAAACGAUUUUCUAGUGGUUGGGGAUGAGCUCGCGGCCUAUCAGCUUGUUGGUGGGGUAAUGGCCUACCAAGGCGGCGACGGGUAGCCGGCCUGAGAGGGUGGACGGCCACAUUGGGACUGAGAUACGGCCCAGACUCCUACGGGAGGCAGCAGUGGGGAAUAUUGCACAAUGGGAGGAAGCCUGAUGCAGCGACGCCGCGUGGGGGAUGACGGCCUUCGGGUUGUAAACUCCUUUCGACCGAGAGGAAGCCACCUGGUUGGAAGGGUGGUGACGGUAGUGGUAGAAGAAGCACCGGCUAACUACGUG
rnacentral:rRNA from 1 species